GGGGAAUUUUGGACAAUGGGCGAAAGCCUGAUCCAGCAAUGCCGCGUGUGUGAAGAAGGCCUUCGGGUUGUAAAGCACUUUUGUCCGGAAAGAAAUCCUCUGGGUUAAUACCUCGGGGGGAUGACGGUACCGGAAGAAUAAGCACAGGCUAACUACGUGCCAGCAGCCGCGGUAAUACGUAGGGUGCAAGCGUUAAUCGGAAUUACUGGGCGUAAAGCGUGCGCAGGCGGUUUUGUAAGACGGAGGUGAAAUCCCCGGGCUUAACCUGGGAACUGCAUUCGNGACUGCAAGGCUAGAGUAUGGCAGAGGGGGGUAGAAUUCCACGUGUAGCAGUGAAAUGCGUAGAGAUGUGGAGGAAUACCGAUGGCGAAGGCAGCCCCCUGGGCCAAUACUGACGCUCAUGCACGAAAGCGUGGGGAGCAAACA
rnacentral:rRNA from 1 species